UCGUCAUGCGGUGGAGGACUGAGAUCCUUAAAAGCCAUUAAAUCACAUAAUAUAGAGAAAUAUGCACAUGCAGUGAGUUAUACACUCGUUCUCAAUUAUAGGGUGAUUCGGAUGGCUGUGUAGUUUUGCAUGUUGACAGCGAUUGCUGACGAACAUGUCAGUUUGGGGAAGAUAACCACCAAAGCAGGGGAGAAAAGUGCUUCAUAGACCCCUUUGUGUUUCCAGUGCGGUGUAAAGCAUUCAAAGGGAAGUCGAGUAAGCAUUAACGUGUACCUGUGCUAGACUGCUGAUGGACUGUAAGUUUGAAACAUCAAAUUCGUUUUUGAAGUCCUAUAAGAACCCAUUUACAAAUGUGAGGUUGACUGAGUGUUAAAUUGUGCAAUAGUGUUGUAAUGUAUUAAGGAUGCUCAAAAUUGUAACUUAUAAUUUCCUUCCCAUGUACUCUUCAUAUAAUUUGUGUAGCCUUAUUCAGUUGAUCACUUUUAUUUGUUGACAGCUGUUACAUCUACAUUUCUAUUUGUUUUUCCAGCAUGAGAGGCUACUGCCGUUGUCUAUGUUAGCUGGUUAUUGUGAAUGUGGAAAAAGACACAUACUCCAUUUGUAGUGAAGAUAAUUUUAUUGGUCUCGUUGGCUGUUUUAAGCUUUAACUUUUCUGUUCUAAUUCCCCAAAAUUUGCAUACUUAACGCUGCGCUGAUCCAAGUGCAGUCUGGAUUAAAAGACCCCUUUAAAUUCUUCAUCCUGUGUCCGGUGUCACAAAUUCA